GAUGAACGCUGGCGGCGUGCCUAAUACAUGCAAGUCGAGCGAACAGAUAAGGAGCUUGCUCCUUUGACGUUAGCGGCGGACGGGUGAGUAACACGUGGGUAACCUACCUAUAAGACUGGGAUAACUUCGGGAAACCGGAGCUAAUACCGGAUAACAUUUGGAGCCGCAUGGUUCUAAAGUGAAAGAUGGUUUUGCUAUCACUUAUAGAUGGACCCGCGCCGUAUUAGCUAGUUGGUAAGGUAACGGCUUACCAAGGCAACGAUACGUAGCCGACCUGAGAGGGUGAUCGGCCACACUGGAACUGAGACACGGUCCAGACUCCUACGGGAGGCAGCAGUAGGGAAUCUUCCGCAAUGGGCGAAAGCCUGACGGAGCAACGCCGCGUGAGUGAUGAAGGGUUUCGGCUCGUAAAACUCUGUUAUUAGGGAAGAACAAAUGUGUAAGUAACUGUGCACGUCUUGACGGUACCUAAUCAGAAAGCCACGGCUAACUACGUG
rnacentral:rRNA from 1 species